UGUUAAAUGAGAUAAGCCAUCAUCAUCUGAGAAGCAGGUGAAGAGAGAGCAUGCUGAUGCACGUUUAAGAGAAGAGCUCAAAAAAGGAAAGUGGCUAUGGUUGAUGCUGCUCUUAUACUCCUUGGUAACAUGAUUUCAAGGGAUCUUAUAAAUAUGUUGGUUGUACCCCAAGAUGUCUGGGACCUCAUGUUAUUCAAACGAAUUCCAUCAAUGAAUGGGCAUCUGAGCAUUGUUCAACACCUUUUCGAGCUCCAGAGUUGUGAGAUUGUCCAAGUAAUGCAGAUAUCGAUGAGCGAGCUGAUAUUUGGUCAUUAGGAUGCACUUUAUAUGCGAUAAUGUGAUAAUGUCUUUUACCAUGUGAUUUAAGAUUUAUUGGUUUAAGUUUUCGGGUCUUUGUCUCCUGAGAGCUAUAAUAUAAUUUGAUGACAGUGUUGACUGUUUUAAACUAA